AAUCCGAUAACAAAGCCUUAAUUUGGUCCCUCCAAAACCCUACGCCAACUCGAAACCACAAAACUUGCAGAAGAGAAAUCUUUCCUCUCGUCUUCCCUCCAUCGGAAACACUCCAAUGGCUGUAAGUACUCGUCAGUGCUCCUCCGCAUUUACUAAACUUCGAUUCCUGUCAUGAGUAUGGGCUUCAUGUUUGAUUCGUAGUUUAACGAUGUCUCAAUAUUGAGUUAAAAAAACAAACGGUGUCUAAUUUUUAUUUUUUGUCGUACAAGAUUUUCUUUUUACAUUUUUUAGUUUGGUCUCAAGACUUCGUGAGGGUUCUGUCUAUUUUAGUAAUACUAGACAAUUUGCUGCAUUUCUUUUUCUGCAGUUCAGAACUGUUUGGUCUUUUUGCAAUUCCGCAAAUGAAUCGGCGUUUGCCUUUUUUUGGGGUUUGUGCAACUUGCCUUUGGAGUUAUUGAUUUGAGAAUUAGGUCCACAACAGUUAAUUGAGAGUCUUGAAAGUUCCAGCUGAUUAGGUAGCUCCAGGGUUCAGUGCGAGUGAUAAUGGAAUUGACGGACUUGUUACUGCGAACUGAAUUAAAAUAGUGGGAUAUGUGGGGAAAGGAUAGCACUUGAACCUUUUAUUUUUCCCCUUUGUGCCCUUUUGGUGCGGUGCUUUCGAAUGUCCUGAGAUUUGAGCCUUAGGUGUUUCUAGAGUUUGGAUUCAUUAGGAGCCUUACAGGCCCUUGUCGAGGCUUACAUUUUGAAUUACUGAAGCACACCUCAAGGCAUGAGCACUCAUGGCGGGUAAGGCUUGUAUUCCUUACUCUUGCCUUUCCUGGGCUCUCUUUUACACCACCUCAACUUUUCUAGUUAAAAUAAUACAUCUAAUUUGUUAGAAAUAUUUUAUUAAUGUUUAUGGUUUAUGGUAAGAACAAUUUUAUACUUAAAAUUUUUUAUUAAUUACAUUAUUGGUUUGUGUUGAGGCUGAAGAGUCAAAUUUAACUGAACCUUGCGCUUUUGCCUUAUGGAGGGAAAACGACUUUACACAAGUUACGCUUUUUAGUAUUUGUUUUAAGGGGUGGGGAGAUGGACAGUGUGACUGUCGGGAGAAAAGGGAGCAGAUUGUACAGAGCACGUGUUUACUUAAGCAUGGAGAAUUUAAAUAUAUAUGUGUAAGCAUAUUACAGCUUGGCAUUUCUGGGUUCUAGUGUUUUGGCAACAGGAGCUGGGGCCAGCUUAGUAGAAUUUCUUGAAAGUCCACUAUGUUGUUCAAAAGGGUUGGGGAAUGCGGACUUCUAGUACUUGGGCCCUGUUCUUCGAGUACUUAGGGAGAUCAAAUAAUUUGUGCUUCCUUGUCUUCUAUAAUCAUGUUAGCUCUACAUAAGAAGGCUGUAUCAGAGAAUGUUUGAAACUUUUGUGUCGUAACCACCUAAAAUUUCGGACUACUUGUGUUAUUAUUGCGGUCACUUGACAGAAGGUCGAGUUGUUAUUUUCCGUAUGGCAGUAAUGGGUGGAAACCUGUCGGAGAAUUUCUGUUUUCCAAUCCCCCAUAUCAUGAGGUCUUUCUUCCUCUAAUUUUCUUUUUCUUCUUUCAUUUCUGGGGUGUUAGGGCUUGAGUUCUGUAACGAUCCGACAUAUGUGCCCAAACUGUUAAUUUACGUAUUGUUCGCUUUGGGAGAGCAUAAGCUUAUCUUACCCCUCACGGUUUUUUUUCGCGUUCCCCAAGAUUCAAACUCUUAACCUUUCCCUUAAGAAUGACUUAAGUUGAAUUUCAUAUGAUGUGGUAUGUAUAUAUAGCUCAGGAAAUUACACUAGUAGCCCCUCAGCUAUUGGCCGAUAUGCAAUUUGAUCCCUAACUUUCAUUGUCUUGCACUAGGGCCCUAAUUUUCACAAUUAACACUAUAAAAGAUUUUGGGGGUAUUAUAGGUUCGUACCCACCCGCUUUCGUCUUGUUGUAAACAUGUUCUUCAUUCUUAUCUUAAUUCCACUCAAACAAAAUUGAGGUCAGGUACUUAGAGCGGGAGGUAAAUAUGUCUUUGGCGUGCCUCUUUGUUUCAUACAAGGAAGUAGGAGAGAAUCUACGAUAUAUUUUUCAUACUUUUUUAGAAUUGUUUAAUUUGUUCUUGGAAAUUGCAUCUGACAAAAAAGGAUGUAUCUAGUGUAUGCUGUUGCUUUCAGUUUACAAACUUCACAGGAAUAUUGAGCUCCUGACAGUUCUAUCAUUUCAUUGAUUAAGAUUUGUAAUUUUUUCAUUUCUAAUAGUUAUUUUUGCCUGGGACGAGAUAUGGUGUGUUAUCACAGCUGAAUUUUUCUGCCCGAAAAAUAGAACAUUUUUCUUAAUAAUUGCAUGUCUUUUGAUUAGUGCAUUAUGAAGUAAUUUUCUUAGUUCCCUAUAACAUUAGUUCGUGGUGUUCUGAAACUUCUUUAUCCGUUAUACUGUUAGACUGUUCCUGUCAAUCCCAAACCUUUCUUGAACAAUCUGACUGGGAAGCCUGUCAUGGUAAAACUCAAGUGGGGAAUGGAAUACAAAGGUACUGUUCCACGAUUAAUUUUUUAAUUUUAUAUAUAGUAUGUGUGACUACUGAUAUGCACAAUUAUAUCCCAUUUGUCUAGUUAAUAAUGAGAUUUUUUUUUUUUUUUUUCAUUUGAAAUUUCCUUUCAGGUUUUCUUGUCUCUGUGGAUUCAUACAUGAACUUGCAGGUAUUUCUA
rnacentral:lncRNA from 1 species